AGAGUUUGAUUCUGGCUCAGGAUAAACGCUGGCGGCGCACAUAAGACAUGCAAGUCGAACGGACUUAACCGUAGUUUACUAAUGGAGCGGUUAGUGGCGGACUGGUGAGUAACGCGUGAGCAACCUGCCUAUCAGAGGGGAACAACAGUUAGAAAUGACUGCUAAUACCGCAUAUGCCUAAGUAUCACAUGAUACAAUAGGGAAAGGAGCAAUCCGCUGAUAGAUGGGCUCGCGUCUGAUUAGAUAGUUGGUGGGGUAACGGCCUACCAAGUCAACGAUCAGUAGCCGGACUGAGAGGUUCAACGGCCACAUUGGGACUGAGAUACGGCCCAGACUCCUACGGGAGGCAGCAGUCGGGAAUAUUGCGCAAUGGAGGAAACUCUGACGCAGUGACGCCGCGUGCAGGAAGUAAGGUUUUCGGAUUGUAAACUGCUUUAGACAGGGAAGAAAAAGACAGUACCUGUAGAAUAAGCUCCGGCUAACUACGUGCCAGCCGCCGC
rnacentral:rRNA from 1 species